rnacentral:rRNA from 1 species
GCUUACGGCCAUACUAACCUGGCUAUGCCCCGAUCUCGUCUGAUCUCGGAAGCUAAGCAGGUUUGGGCCUGGUUAGUACUUGGAUGGGAGACCGCCUGGGAAUACCAGGUGCUGUAAGCU